rnacentral:rRNA from 1 species
GGGUGAGUAACACGUAGAUCAUCUACCUUGAAGUGGGGGAUAGUCCAUGGAAACAUGGAGUAAUACCGCAUAUGUCUUCGGAUGAAAGUUCCAAUUGGAACGCUUUGGGAUGAGUCUGCGGCUCAUUAGCUUGUUGGUGGGGUAAAGGCCUACCAAGGCAACGAUGAGUAGCCGGCCUGAGAGGGUGAACGGCCACACUGGGACUGAGACACGGCCCAGACUCCUACGGGAGGCAGCAGCUAAGAAUCUUCCGCAAUGGACGCAAGUCUGACGGAGCGACGCCGCGUGAACGAUGAAGGCGGAAACGUUGUAAAGUUCUUUUCCUGAUGAAGAAUAAUGAGAGGAGUGGAAAGCCUUUCAGAUGACAUUAUUCAGGGAAUAAGCCCCGGCUAAUUACGUGCCAGCAGCCGCGGUAAUACGUAUGGGGCAAGCGUUGUUCGGAUUUAUUGGGCGUAAAGGGCGCGCAGGCGGUUUAACAAGCUUGAUGUGAAAUAUCCCGGCUUAACUGGGGACACGCGUUGGGAACUGUUAGACUAGAGUUUAGAAGGGGAAACUGGAAUUCCUAGUGUAGGGUGAAAUCUGUAGAGAUUAGGAAGAACACCAAUGGCGAAGGCAAGUUUCUGGUCAUAGACUGACGCUGAGGCGCGAAAGCGUGGGGAGCGAACAGGAUUAGAUACCCUGGUAGUCCACGCUGUAAACGAUGUGCACUAGGUGUAGGAUAUUGAAUAUAUUCUGUGCCGUAGCUAACGCGUUAAGUGCACCGCCUGGGGAGUAUGCUCGCAAGGGUGAAACUCAAAGGAAUUGACGGGGGCCCGCACAAGCGGUGGAGCAUGUGGUUUAAUUCGAUACGCGAGAAACCUUACCAGGGCUUGACAUUUACAUGACGGUUUAAGAGAUUAGGCCUUCCUUUCGGGGACAUGUAAACAGGUGCUGCACGGUUGUCGUCAGCUCGUGUCGUGAGAUGUUGGGUUAAGUCCCGCAACGAGCGCAACCCUUAUUGUCUGUUGCCAGCAUUUCGGAUGGGGACUCAGACAAAACUGCCGGUGACAAACCGGAGGAAGGUGGGGAUGACGUCAAAUCAUCAUGGCCCUUAUGUCCUGGGCUACACACGUGCUACAAUGGCAAGUACAAAGCGUUGCGAAAAGGUGACUUCAAGCUAAUCGCAAAAAGCUUGCCUCAGUUCGGAUUGGAGUCUGAAACUCGACUCCAUGAAGUUGGAAUCGCUAGUAAUCGCGCAUCAGCAUGGCGCGGUGAAUAUGUUCCCGGGCCUUGUACAC